rnacentral:rRNA from 1 species
ANNNNUNNNCCAUGCANNUNCUAGUAUAGCAUUAUACAGCGAAACUGCGAAUGGCUCAUUAUAUAAGUUAUCGUUUAUUUGAUAGUACCUUACUACUUGGAUAACCGUGGUAAUUCUAGAGCUAAUACAUGCUAAAAAUCCCGACUUCGGAAGGGAUGUAUUUAUUAGAUUAAAAACCAAUGCCCUUCGGGGCUCCUUGGUGAUUCAUGAUAACUUCUCGAAUCGCAUGGCCUUGUGCCGGCGAUGGUUCAUUCAAAUUUCUUCCCUAUCAACUUUCGAUGUUUGGGUAUUGGCCAAACAUGGUUGCAACGGGUAACGGAGGGUUAGGGCUCGACCCCGGAGAAGGAGCCUGAGAAACGGCUACUACAUCCAAGGAAGGCAGCAGGCGCGCAAAUUACCCAAUCCCGACACGGGGAGGUAGUGACAAUAAAUACUGAUACAGGGCUCUUUAGGGUCUUGUAAUUGGAAUGAGUACAAUUUAAAUCUCUUAACGAGGAACAAUUGGAGGGCAAGUCUGGUGCCAGCAGCCGCGGUAAUUCCAGCUCCAAUAGCGUAUAUUAAAGUUGUUGUGGUUAAAAAGCUCGUAGUUGAACCUUGGGCCUGGCUGGCCGGUCCGCCUCACCGCGUGUACUGGUCCGGCCGGGCCUUUCCCUCUGUGGAACCUCAUGCCCUUCACUGGGUGUGGCGGGGAAACAGGACUUUUACUUUGAAAAAAUUAGAGUGCUCCAGGCAGGCCUAUGCUCGAAUACAUUAGCAUGGAAUAAUAGAAUAGGACGUGUGGUUCUAUUUUGUUGGUUUCUAGGACCGCCGUAAUGAUUAAUAGGGACAGUCGGGGGCAUCAGUAUUCAAUUGUCAGAGGUGAAAUUCUUGGAUUUAUUGAAGACUAACUACUGCGAAAGCAUUUGCCAAGGAUGUUUUCAUUAAUCAGGAACGAAAGUUAGGGGAUCGAAGACGAUCAGAUACCGUCGUAGUCUUAACCAUAAACUAUGCCGACUAGGGAUCGGACGGUGUUAUUUUUUGACCCGUUCGGCACCUUACGAGAAAUCAAAGUGCUNGGCUCCNNNGGNNNNNNNGNNNNNNNNNUNAANNNNA